GUCCCUGUAGUGGAAUGGGUAACGCGUUGGGUUUCUAAUCCAAAGGUCAUGGGUUCAUAUCCCACCUGGGAUU